UACAGAGGGUGCGAGCGUUAAUCGGAAUUACUGGGCGUAAAGCGUGCGUAGACGGUCAUGUAAGUCGGGUGUGAAAGCCCCGGGCUCAACCUGGGAAUUGCAUUCGAGACUGCAUGGCUAGGAUGCGGAAGAGGGAAGCGGAAUUUCCGGUGUAGCGGUGAAAUGCGUAGAUAUCGGAAGGAACACCAGUGGCGAAAAGCGGCUUCCUGGUCCAGCAUCGACGUUCAGGCACGAAAGCGUGGGGAGCAAAAGGG
rnacentral:rRNA from 1 species